AGAGUUUGAUCCCUGGCUCAGAUUGAACGCUGGCGGCGUGCCUAACACAUGCAAGUCGUGCGAGAAAGUGGGCUUCGGCCCGCGAGUACAGCGGCGCACGGGUGAGUAACACGUGGGUGAUCUCCCUAACAGAUUGGGAUAACAGCGGGAAACUGCUGCUAAUACCGGAUACGAUCCACUUAAUCGUGGAUGAAAGGCGGCCUCUGCUUGCAAGCUGCCACUGUUAGAUGAGCCCGCGUCCCAUUAGCUUGUUGGCGGGGUAACGGCCCACCAAGGCGACGAUGGGUAGCUGGUCUGAGAGGAUGACCAGCCACACUGGGACUGAAACACGGCCCAGACUCCUACGGGAGGCAGCAGUGGGGAAUAUUGCGCAAUGGGCGAAAGCCUGACGCAGCGACGCCGUGUGAGGGAAGAAGGCCUUCGGGUCGUAAACCUCUGUCAGAAGGGAAGAACCCCCCAAGGUUCGAAUAGGGCUUUGGGCUGACGGUACCUUCAGAGGAAGCACCGGCUAAUUCCGUGCCACACCGCGGUAAUACGGAAGGUGCAGCGUUAAUCGGAAUUACUGGGCGUAAACGCACGUAGC
rnacentral:rRNA from 1 species